UUUUAAAAAAAAAAAAAAUUCAUAAAUUGUUUUUAAACAAAGUGAAGAUUCACGAUGACAAAAGGAUACUUGGGAUGUCUUCAGUGCUCUCCCAAAGAUGGCAUCAUUCCCAACAGGGUAAGACAUUUGUUCAUAUUCCCAACAUGAUUGUAUCCUCUUCCUUCAGAGCCUGUUUGUGUUUUCCUCCCGAGCAGAGUGGUUGAGGAAGAUGUU
rnacentral:lncRNA from 1 species